UUCAGCAACACUGUAAUUCUUUAAAUCAUGCCUUGUCCCAUCCCAGUGUGUGGCAACAUGCAGUGAAAGUUCCGAUAUAUCCACUUUUACUCCCUUGGCAUUUGCUUUCUGCUCAUACAGAAAACCAUAUUUUAUUUUAUUUUUUCAUUUUGGCCAUGGGGCAACAUGUUUUAGUUCUCCUUCAUUUUCUUACAAAGGUAUCUUCCUAAGUAUGUCAGGAGACACAGCACUGCAUUUUUGGUUGACUUAAAAAACUCUUCAUUAACUUCUUUGCAGGGUGGAGACAGGAAGGAAAUAUUCGUUGAUGUCCAAGUGCGCUUUAUAGUAUAUGCUUAAUGGCUGAUACAUGGCUGAAGCAGAGAUAGUGAGCAUUAACAGCAGCACGUGCUUUAAAUGGCUGUUCAUUUCUUCCGUCGUACCUCCCGUGUGUUCAGAAAUGGCUCAAAGUGUGGCUUGCUAGGAUUUUACUCUGUUUUUUGUCUAAAUUCCUGAUGAUUUUUGCUGUAUUCAUUGAAGGUGCAGGACUAUUCUGUCAGUCCUACAGGAAUAGAGAUUGUAUCUGUAACUUGUCAGCACGUGAACUCAGUUUUGAAAAUAACUCUGUUUCUCCAUCUGUUGAGGGAAAAGUAAAAGGCCAAGAUGCAAGGCUGGGACUUAGCUGCACAAAUGUUGUUGUAGAUGCUCCUCCAGUUGCCACUUCAGGUUUGGCCUCCCCCGUGGCUGGAAGGUGCAUUGCUACAUGGAACAGACUGUUCCCCAUGCACAGCUGCAGCGUGGGAUCACAAGGAGACCGGCACAGCAACAAGAUAUUUCCAUGCUGCAACCAUGCAAUGUGAGAGCAGGAAGGUCACCACCUGAGAAGGGGUGAGCAGUGCAGCAGCCAUUGUGAUAUGACUUGGGCACCUGUUGUUCAUCACCACCUCUCCUGUUUGUUUAUAGCUGCAAACCAGUCCAAUGCUCUGGGGAAGAAGCUUAGAACUGAUCCCUAGGAGCUUAACUGGAAAAAGCUGAAGGAAAGACAUGCAUAAGCAAGCAAGGAGCAGCAGUGAGCAUGGUGAACGUGCUAUGGUAAUGCAGAUUGAUCGGUCCUCUCGGAAAACCAGCCCACCGCUAACAGGGAGAAGACGAGCAGAAAACCUUUAAAACUUAUUAUCACCUCUAGACGAGGCAGGCUGAAGAAGACAGAGUAGUCAGCUGUUGCAGCAGCACAGUGAGAAUGAUCUAAAUGCUGGUCCCACACUGCAGCCACUGUGGCUAGGUGAGAAAAUCACAGCCUGUAGGACGCCAACAUUUGAAAUUUACCCUCGGGAGACGCUGUUAGCGAUUAUUAUUUGUUAUUUCCACCACAGAAGACUGGAAACCUCAAAUCUCACUGCCUUAAAUGCAAAGGAAGAGAGAACAAAACCCUACUAAUGAAAUGAGCAGUGAGUGAUAUGAUUGCAAAUAAAGUGAGACAGCUGUGUGGGCUGUAAGCUGUGGAGAUGGUGCAAACAGUUGCUUAAUUUGUUUUGGGGUUUUAAAAAAAAUAGAGUAGUUCAGUUGGAAGGGAUUUACAAAGAUCAUGCAGUCCAAUGGCCUGUCCACCUCAGGGCUAACCAAAAGUCCAAGUGUGUUAACGAGGGCAUUGCCCAAAUGUCUCUUGAAUGCCAGCAGGAAUGGGGCAUCAGCCACCUCCCUAGGAAGCCUGUUCCAGCUUUGGCACCCUCCCAGGACAGGAACUUUGUCUCGUGCCCAGGCCGUCCCUCCCCUGGCGCAGCUCCGUGCUGUCCCCACGCCUCCUGCCCUCGGUCCCCGGGGAGCAGAG